CCUUCAUCCCACACUGCCCUGUCCAAGUAUCUGUUUCCUGAUGUUUUAUUGUGAUGAACUUCAAUUUUGUCUUUCUAAGGAAAUGUACUAUUUGAGAUAUCCCUUGAAUCUUCUGUAUUUCAGUUAAAACAUUUAUAUAUAUACUUUAAU